UGUGCGUGCAUAUUUGUGUGCAGAGACACAUGGAUGUCCACAUACUGCGUGUUGAAGACGUACCAGAGAUGCUGGCACAACGGUCACAUGACCCAGAGAGAACUGCUGGACAGUGACAUUACUCAAUACAGAGUGAUCCCACGCUACAGCAGUGUGAUCUCUAAACCCAUGUGGCUGAACAGAGUGAAGGAGAAGCUGCAGAAUAAAGAGUACAGAACACUGAUCCAGUUUGUGUCUGACAUCCAGCUCAUCUUUCAAAACUGCCACAUCUUUAAUAAGGUGAGGUGCUGCAGUGCAAAUAUCAGGAACCACCAAACUCUUCAUUCUUUCUCUUUCAGUCAGAACACCUGCACUCAAAAAAAUAACUCAUUGGAUUAACUCAAUUAAAUUGUGGGCAGGAUUU
rnacentral:lncRNA from 1 species